UUCUUCCACGAACUAAGUAUA
ensembl:piRNA 21ur-8352 ncRNA